AGUAUUGGUGCCCUGACAGUUUCUAAACGGGCCUCUCAAGAGUUUACGAGAAGCAUAUCCCUAGGAAUAUUUCCUUCAAGUAUUCAGACGGUUUUAAUAACGUCCUCGCUUGCUGAUGUUAAUGAAUGCCUAAACAAUCCAUGUGACCAGAAUGCUCUAUGUACAAACACUAAGGGAUCUUUCUCUUGUUCAUGCAAAGAGGGAUUUACAGGGAAUGGAACAUAUUGUCGAGAAAUAAACGAAUGCGAUCUCUCACCGUGUCGGCAAGAUCAGGUUUGUGACGACUUCGUUGGAUACUAUGAGUGUAGGUGCCCACCGGGACUAAUCCAGCUAGAAAACAGUGGCAUCUGCGAACGUA